GCAGAUCACUGAAGCAUCACUCCUGAAUGUUCCUCUGUACCCUCAAUGUGCAUUUGCACUACCAGUGAUCUCAAGAAUUCUAGAAAAUGAAAACUGGAUUACCAUCACCAACGUCUAGGAACUGUGAGUCCUAUGGCUAUUGAUAUCUAACAUCCUGGCUUCACUCACAUGGAUGAGCCCCACCUGGAAUGCCUAGAAGACGUGGGACAGCUGGAUCUCUCUCCACACGGUUUUUCAUUGUUGCCUCAGGUUCCAAUAAAAGCAAAAGCUGCAAGGUCUUCUGAGGCAAAGACUUAGAAAUACCACAAUGUUACUUCUGCUGCAUUCUGUUGAUAAAAGAAUCCCACAAUGCCAGCUUCAUUUAAAGGGGUAAAGAUAUAGAUUAUUCACCUUCGAUGGGAGGAACUGCAAAUGAUGUAAUUAGUGAUAAUUUUUAAUAUACUGUAAUGUAUUGACUUAUCUUUAAAAAAUGAAAAAAUAAACCA
rnacentral:lncRNA from 10 species